rnacentral:rRNA from 1 species
GACGUAGGGUCCGAGCGUUGUCCGGAGUUACUGGGCGUAAAGGGCGCGUAGGCAGCUUUGUGCGUCACACGUGAAAGCCCCUGGCUUAACCAGGGAGGGUCGUGUGAAACGGCGAAGCUGGAGGCAGAGAGAGGCUGGUGGAAUUCCCGGAGUAGUGGUGAAAUGCGUAGAUAUCGGGAGGAACACCGGUGGCGAAGGCGGCCAGCUGGCUCUGACCUGACGCUGAGGCGCGA